CGGGGCGUAGCGCAGUCUGGUAGCGCGCUUCGUUCGGGUCGAAGAGGUCGUGGGUUCAAAUCCCGCCGCCCCGACCA
rnacentral:tRNA from 1 species